AAUGGCCUCAAGUUUAAGCAGUGGAGAGUUUAGGUUGGAUAUUAGGAGAAAUUUCUUUACUGAAAGAGUUGUAUAGUAUUGGAACAGGCUGCCCAGGGAAGUAGUUGAGUCACCAUGCCUGGAGAUCUUCAAGAAACGUGUAUAUUUAGAACUUAGUAGCAUGCUUUAGUGGUGGACUUUAGUACCAGGUUAAAGGUUGGACUGGAUGAUCUUAAAGGUCUUUUCAAACCUGAAUGAUUCUAUG